CGGCGCACGGGUGAGUAACACGUAUCCAACCUGCCGUCUACUCUUGGACAGCCUUCUGAAAGGAAGAUUAAUACAAGAUGGCAUCAUGAGUCCGCAUGUUCACAUGAUUAAAGGUAUUCCGGUAGACGAUGGGGAUGCGUUCCAUUAGAUAGUAGGCGGGGUAACGGCCCACCUAGUCUUCGAUGGAUAGGGGUUCUGAGAGGAAGGUCCCCCACAUUGGAACUGAGACACGGUCCAAACUCCUACGGGAGGCAGCAGUGAGGAAUAUUGGUCAAUGGGCGAGAGCCUGAACCAGCCAAGUAGCGUGAAGGAUGACUGCCCUAUGGGUUGUAAACUUCUUUUAUAAAGGAAUAAAGUCGGGUAUGCAUACCCGUUUGCAUGUACUUUAUGAAUAAGGAUCGGCUAACUCCGUGCCAGCAGCCGCGGUAAUACGGAGGAUCCGAGCGUUAUCCGGAUUUAUUGGGUUUAAAGGGAGCGUAGAUGGAUGUUUAAGUCAGUUGUGAAAGUCUGCGGCUCAACCGUAAAAUUGCAGUUGAUACUGGAUAUCUUGAGUGCAGUUGAGGCAGGCGGAAUUCGUGGUGUAGCGGUGAAAUGCUUAGAUAU
rnacentral:rRNA from 1 species